CAGUUCUUUGUCUCUUGCUCCUCUUAGGAGCUUCACUGUUAACCUCCUCAUGAACUGGUUCAAGUGUUUGUUCAGCAUAAUCAGGAAGCACAAUAGGUUCAGGAGUUGUCUCAGCAAUCAUAUCAGAAGAUAGUCUAGACAUACUAUGCAAUUGUUUCAUAGGAAAUAUAUUCUCAAAGAAAGUAACAUCACGAGACUCCAUCAAGGUAUUAACAUGAACAUCAGGC
rnacentral:lncRNA from 1 species